rnacentral:rRNA from 1 species
UACGUAAGAGACUAGUGUUAUUCAUCAUCAAUAGGUUUAAAGGGUACCCAAACGGAAGAAAUUACCUAAAAUAGGAAUAAUUUCUAUCUAGAGUUUAAUGUGAAAAGGUAGUAUCUAUGGAGUAUUUAUAGGGAUAAAAUCUGUUGAUACCUAUAUAGAGACUGGUAAUAGCGAAGGCAGCCUUUUAUGUAAAGACUGACGUUGAAGGACGAAAGCUAAGGGAAUAAACAGG